GAUGAACGCUGGCGGCGUGCCUAAUACAUGCCAGUCGAGCGAACAGACGAGGAGCUUGCUCCUCUGACGUUAGCGGCGGACGGGUGAGUAACACGUGGAUAACCUACCUAUAAGACUGGGAUAACUUCGGGAAACCGGAGCUAAUACCGGAUAAUAUAUUGAACCGCAUGGUUCAAUAGUGAAAGACGGUUUUGCUGUCACUUAUAGAUGGAUCCGCGCCGCAUUAGCUAGUUGGUAAGGUAACGGCUUACCAAGGCGACGAUGCGUAGCCGACCUGAGAGGGUGAUCGGCCACACUGGAACUGAGACACGGUCCAGACUCCUACGGGAGGCAGCAGUAGGGAAUCUUCCGCAAUGGGCGAAAGCCUGACGGAGCAACGCCGCGAGAGUGAUGAAGGUCUUCGGAUCGUAAAACUCUGUUAUUAGGGAAGAACAAAUGUGUAAGUAACUAUGCACGUCUUGACGGUACCUAAUCAGAAAGCCACGGCUAACUACGUG
rnacentral:rRNA from 1 species